UCUCAGCCCUUUGGUUCAGUGAAGCAAAAAUGACGUUUAAUAGUAAAACAAAUGAUGUUUUUGUAUGAAAAUACGAUGUUUUUUUUCUUCAGAGUCUUUCUGAGUGUAAAAGGCCCUUCAGGAAACGCCUUGAAAUCCGAUAUGGAAAAGGUCCCCGGUGCCGCCCGUGUCGUCAGAGCAUUAAUUAACGUUAAUUGAGGACUAAUGAGAGAUGGGGCUUUGAGAUGAGGAAAAGGAGAGAAGUGAGGAGAAAUGGAGAGCGAAGAGGAAAGGGAGAAGUGAGCAAGAUGGAGGAAACAAAACUGGGUGGCAGUGCGGAAAUGGAAGGAGGAGAAAAGGCGUUUUAGGAGAAUUUGGCAUUUCAGAGCCGGGAAGAGCGGAGGCGGCGACGAGGCAGGGAGGAUUUAGAGGAGAAAAAAGGACUUUUUGGUUCAAAAUAUGUAUUGGGGUCCGUAGGACGGAAGGCGGAGGGCAAAAUGGAAACGGGAGCAAAAGAGGAAAUAAUGGCCAAAAAACAAUGAAAGAGAGGAGGAAACGAUGGAAAGAAAAAGACAGAGGAGAGAAGGAAAUAAUUGGGGGGGAAAAAGGAAAAUUGGAGAUUAAUGGAAAAAAAGAAGAGGAAAAAAUAGGGAAUAAUAGAAAAAAGAGAAGUAGAAAUGGAAGAGAAAAUUGGGGAAAAAUAGGAAAAAAAAGAAGAGAAAAGGAGAAGUAG
rnacentral:lncRNA from 1 species